ACUUUCCAACAGAACAAUGCGCAUAUAUAUAAUUAUGGGUGGGUGAAAGAGGCCGCACGGUACACGAGUCACGGGACAUAACGGAGACUCAAAAUAAAGACCAUGCAUUCAUUCUUAACAAAAUCAAGGAAUUUGUAGAGCCCCAAGCAAAUCCAGUUUUCGCCAGGUAUAACUUUUACCACAAAAUUCAGAACGAGGACACGAUCGAUGAAUUUAUCGCGAGACUAUCAAUAAAGGCAAAGGAUUGUGAUUUUGGAGAUAAAUUAGACGAAAAUUAAGAGACAGGUUAGUAUCUGGUUGCAAAUCGGAACGUGUGCCCGAAAAGUUGAUCGAAGAAGGGAAAGACCUAACAUUGCAAACGGCGAAAGAAACUGCACAAUCAUAUGAGUAUAAUAAAAACCAAAUAGAGGCUAGGAAAGCUCACGAUAAAGAGAUAGAUUCGAUCACGUCCCGGAAAGCAGGAUCUUGGGCAGCAAAAGCUCGAAAGAAUUCGAAUUGCAUCGCAGAACGAUGACCAGUUUCAAUCUCUCAUACAGGUUAUGAGAAACGGCUGGCCUCGUAUACGCCAAGGCUGUCCUAAAUCAAGGAAUUUGUAGAACCCAAAGCAAAUCCAGUUUUCGCCAGGUAUAACUUUUACCACGAAAUUCAGAACGAGGACACGAUCGAUGAAUUUACCGCGAGACUAUCAAUAAAGGCAAAGGAUUGUGAUUUUGGAGAUAAAUUAGACGAAAAUUAAGAGACAGGUUAGUAUUUGGCUGCAAAUCGGAACGUGUGCGGGAAAAAGUGAUCGAAAAAGGGAAAGACCUAACAUUGCAAACGGCGAAGGAAAUUGCACAAUCAUAUGAGUAUAAUAAAAAACAUAUAGAGGCUAUGAAAGCUCACGGCAAAGAGAUAGAUUCGAUCACGUCCCGGAAAGCAGGAUCUUGGGCAACAAAAGCUCGAAAAAAUUCGAAUUGCAUCGCAGAACGAUGACCAAUUUCAAUCUCUCAUACAGGUUAUGAGGAACGGCUGGCCUCGUAUACGCCAAGACUGUCCUAAAUCUGUAGUUAUGUAUUGGAACCACGGAGAUGAGCUUUCGUUCGAAAAUGGCCUAAUAUUUAAGGAAAAAAAGAUAAUCAUUCCAAAGUCAGAACGCUUUGACAUGAUAAAAGCUAUUCACGAUAACAGCCACUAGGGCUGCAACCAAGCAACACGGCGUGCUAGUGAUAUCAUGUUCUGGGCAGGUUUGAGUAAUCAAAUAUUAGAAUACGUGCAAGCAUGCUCGUUAUGCGAGAAAUACCGCCCUGCAAACGCAAAGAAUCACUCUUUCCGCAUGAGGUGCCCCCUUGACGCCAUGGAAAAACGUUUCAUGUGACACUCACGCAUUCGAUAACAAACAGUACCUAAUAACUGUAUGCGCAUUAAGCAGAUUUUUUCGAGACAUUUACUACCAGACACAAAAAGCAACACGGUGAUUCGUAAAUUUAAGGUACAUUUUAGUCGGUUUGGCAUACCUGAACAUCUUAAAUCGGACAACUGACCAACUGUGACCCCUACCUGCCGCUUCUCGAACACAGAAAUUCCCCAUUACCUGCAACUGGUUAUAGCCCUAGUCAACUUCUACAAGGACGUAGGCUAAGAUCAGUUCUCCCAGCAACUCAUGAACUGUUUUCUCCAAAGCCUGUUAAUGCACAGAAAGCCCGAGAAAAUAUGCAGAGACAACAAGCAAGGUCAAAAUCUUAUUGUGACAGAUCCACACGACCACUCCCUUCUCUGCAUUCAGGGGAAAAUAUCACAUUUAAGAAAACCCCGGGAGAAAAAUGGGAACCAGGGAAAGUGCUUGAGCAGCACAAUGAAAGGUCAUACAAAAUUCAGGCAUCCGAUGGCGCGAGAUACCGGCGCAAUCGCAUGUUCAUUAGGAAGGCCAAAUCAAAUCAUUCAAGGGAUUCGAGUCAAAAUAACACAAACAACAAUUCCCCAUUGAGAACCCUUGAUACCGCUUCGCCCAGCAUCAAGAACAACUCCAAAAAAUGCACGCAAUUAUAUAACACGAUCUGGUCGGAGUGUGAGAGCAGCGAUUGGGUAGUUUAAUGUCAAAUAAACAGUUAAACAUUUAGCUAUGGAAUUUCAUUGAUGACAAAUGUUUAAUUCUCUGAGUCAUGAAUCUACAUUGGAUGAUAGCAGAUAACUCACAGAAUUUGUAGACAUUGUACUAGAGCCGAUUUACGCAAUCGAAUACCGCCGGAAGUAGAACAUUUAUGUCAACACCGGUUUCGUAUUUUCACGUGAAAACGGCCGAAAACUGAGAGGUUAUCAACAAAUUAUAAGUUUACGGGUACCAUGAGGAUUUUCCAUGCAUUUAAACGACAGAAGUACAAGUGAACAGAUAACAUAUUCAAGUGGCUGCAGAAGCUUGAAAAUUUAGAUAGAGCAGGGGAAGUCAAAACAGUGGGAUAAUACUUCUAUGGUGUCCAACAUGUCUAGUCAGGUUGACAGAAGUGAAAGAUGGUCUGAUGGUACAAUGAUGUACAAAUGAUACUCUUUAACAAGUUUAAGAUGUCAAGGUGUAAAAUGUCCUGUGGAUUCAUAUGAUGAGAAUGCCGGUGUUGAUCUGUAUGACUUAAUUAAACACAGAUAUUGAUACCUUCAGAUAUGUACCUGUGAAAUCUUCAGUGUCACCGUUCAGCUGUUGUUCAAGAUCAGUGUAUGCAGCUUGCACAGUUUAGUAAAGAGGAGCCUUCUGAAUCAAUUUUGUUACAUAUUUGCUGUUAUUGUAGAACACACAUGUAGAGAGCAACAAGUCCUGUCCAGCCGUGCAUGUAAAUGUGAUUCAGAAACUUUGAGAAUAUGUAAACAUUACACUGUUAUAAUUUUCAAAAUACUGUGUCUUGCAGUGUAUCAGUACUGUUUUGUCUCAGUUUAUAGCACAGUAUGUUCACAAAUCAAAUUUAAGAUCAUAGUGAUCAGUAUUAUUAAAAUCAUUAAUUAUUUGUAUAGUGACAAAAUUUAAUUCCAUGCAAUACCACUGUAAAACGUUUGAUAAUUUUCACUUUAAAAGUUGUAAGAUUAAACUUCAUAAAUCUAAAAAGUGAUUGGUCAUUAUAAUUGCAAUAUCAUUUUAGUAUGACAAAGUUUAUAUUGAACUAAAACACUAAUGUAAAUUUUUGAACUAGUCAAUGCAUCUUCUUCAGUCUUCUUCAGUCUUAAAACAUUUGUUUAUCGUACGUGUCAUGGCCCAUAACUCCUCCAUAUUACUUGUGUUUUGUUCUUUUUAGUUUCACUGAAGAAUAGGUAGAGGUAUUGCACAUCCAUUUUAUAGCAUCCCUAUUUUGUAAAGUGUUGUAUGUAAGGUUUUAUCUCGGAAGUAUGUCCCAUCUAAAGGUGGGGAGAGGUAUUGUUUAUGCCUUCUCGUCUGUCCGCAUUAAGCCUAUCUGGCUUUAAGAGGACAAGCUGCUGGCCAGAUUUUGAUGAAACUUCACAGGACUUCGGGAUUAUAUUCAAGUUGAUUUUGUUUAAGCGGCAUUUU